CUUCAUCAUGAGGUCGCCGUUGGUUCAUGCUGACGAGCGCAAGGUGUUCUGGAUCAUGACGGUGGUGACUUGCGGAUUGCACCAUUUCAGCGGGUCCUCCGCAUCGGCCUCGUUCUGAAUGCCGGCGACCUCGUCGUCGGUUUGCAGGGCGUGAUGACGUGAUCGGCUGGCGCCGCCAGAGCUACCUGCUCCUUCUCCUCUCCCCGUC
rnacentral:lncRNA from 1 species